CAGUGUUGCUAAAGGCGAAAAAAGGUGUCAGGUGAGCAGCUGGGUGAGGUGAGGUGAGCCAGUGACACUUUGCCUGGCUCAGGCACGCCUGGAUUCUGUGAGGUGAGCACCCAAAAAGAAAAGACAGAGGAGCACAAGGCGACAGAGGCAACGACUUGAUGAAAUAACGGUUACAUUUUUGUUUUUUUAUGCUUUAUUUUUUUUUUUAAAUAGCAGAAGUUUAAAAAACCCUAAGCUCUAAGUUUCCAUUUCACGCCACAGCUGCUGGAGAAGUCCAUCAGAGCACAACCUCAGGUAUUUC
rnacentral:misc_RNA from 1 species